GGGCUGAGGCUCAGUGGUAAAGCACUUGCCUAGCACAUGUGAGGCACUGGGUUCAAUCCUCAGCAUCCCA
rnacentral:tRNA from 1 species